UACGUAGGUGGCAAGCGUUGUUCGGAAUUAUUGGGCGUAAAGGGCGCGUAGGCGGCUUGUUAAGUCGGCUGUGAAAGCCCGGGGCUCAACCCCGGAGGGUCGGCUGAUACUGGUGAGCUUGAGUACGGAAGAGGUAGCUGGAAUUCCCGGUGUAGCGGUGAAAUGCGUUGAUAUCGGGAGGAACACCUGAGGCGAAGGCGGGCUACUGGGCUGAUACUGACGCUGAUGCGCGAAAGCUAGGGGAGCAAACAGG
rnacentral:rRNA from 1 species